UACGUAGGGUCCAAGCGUUAUCCGGAAUCACUGGGCGUAAAGCGUGCGUAGGCGGUUUGUUAAGUGAGAUGUGAAAUCGUGUGGCUCAACCAUAUCGUUGUGUCUCAUACUGGCAAACUAGAGGAUAGCAGAGGCAAGUGGAAUUACGAGUGUAGCAGUGAAAUGCGUAGAGAUUCGUAGGAACACCAAUGGCGAAGGCAGCUUGCUGGGCUAUUUCUGACGCUCAGGCACGAAAGCGUGGGGAGCGAACAGG
rnacentral:rRNA from 1 species